rnacentral:lncRNA from 1 species
AUCGCACAGCUCAGCCCUGAGCUCUUCUCCCCCAGAGGACUGCAUGGGCCAAUGCCAUUGCUCACCUCAUCCACAGCCCUGCUCAGUGGAAGCCAUGGAUGUGGUACUGAUCAACAACACAAAGAUCUGAAGGGAAAAAGAGAUAAAGAGAGAGCAGGGGAGUCACUGUAAUGUUUGUGUGUAAGAAACAAGGAAAAAAAGGCACAAAUGUUCCAGGUCCUGCAGUGUCUGUGACACAGCUGGAAAUCUGCAAUUACACCUGCAUCAUCCUUACAGAAAUUCAGGUGCAGACCCAACGUCUGAGCAUCUGUGGGACCUGUUGCAGCAAAGCUGUUGGAACAGAACAGGCAUCCCCUGAGUUUUGUAAGAUUUCCCGACCUCUAAGCCAAGCUUGAAUGAUUUUUGCACUCUCUCAGCCUUUCUCAACUGGAAUCAAAAAGUAAUAUGUUUUCAUAGGGGCAGCAGACAGCAUGAAACGG